GAUGAACGCUGGCGGCGUGCCUAAUACAUGCAAGUCGAGCGAACGGACGAGAAGCUUGCUUCUCUGAUGUUAGCGGCGGACGGGUGAGUAACACGUGGAUAACCUACCUAUAAGACUGGGAUAACUUCGGGAAACCGGAGCUAAUACCGGAUGAUAUUUUGAACCGCAUGGUUCAAAAGUGAAAGACGGUCUUGCUGUCACUUAUAGAUGGAUCCGCGCUGCAUUAGCUAGUUGGUAAGGUAACGGCUUACCAAGGCAACGAUGCAUAGCCGACCAGAGAGGGUGAUCGGCCACACUGGAACUGAGACACGGUCCAGACUCCUACGGGAGGCAGCAGUAGGGAAUCUUCCACAAUGGGCGAAAGCCUGACGGAGCAACGCCGCGUGAGUGAUGAAGGUCUUCGGAUCGUAAAACUCUGUUAUUAGGGAAGAACAUAUGUGUAAGUAACUGUGCACAUCUUGACGGUACCUAAUCAGAAAGCCACGGCUAACUACGUG
rnacentral:rRNA from 1 species